rnacentral:rRNA from 1 species
AGAGUUUGAUCCUGGCUCAGAGCGAACGCAAGCGGCGUGCUUAACACAUGCAAGUCGAACGAGAAAGCCACUUCGGUGGUGAGUACAGUGGCGAACGGGUGAGUAACACGUGGGUAACGUACCCUCGGGACGGGGGAUAACAGCUCGAAAGGGCUGCUAAUACCGCGUACGUCUCGUGGAUCAUAAGGUCUGCGAGGGAUAGGUUUCGACCGACCGAGGUUCGGCCCGCGGCCCAUUAGCUAGUUGGUAGGGUAAAGGCCUACCAAGGCGACGAUGAGUAGCCGGCCUGAGAGGGUGACCGGCCACACUGGGACUGAGACACGGCCCAGACUCCUACGGGAGGCAGCAGUGGGGAAUAUUGCACAAUGGACGAAAGUCUGAUGCAGCAACGCCGCGUGGAGGAUGACACAUUUCGGUGCGUAAACUCCUUUUAUAUGAGAAGAAAAUGACGGUAUCAUAUGAAUAAGCGCCGGCUAACUCCGUGCCAGCAGCCGCGGUAAUACGGAGGGCGCAAGCGUUACUCGGAAUCACUGGGCGUAAAGAGCGUGUAGGCGGGUAUUUAAGUUGGAAGUGAAAUCCUAUGGCUCAACCAUAGAACUGCUUCCAAAACUGAAUACCUAGAAUAUGGGAGAGGUAGAUGGAAUUUCUGGUGUAGGGGUAAAAUCCGUAGAGAUCAGAAGGAAUACCGAUUGCGAAGGCGAUCUACUGGAACAUUAUUGACGCUGAGACGCGAAAGCGUGGGGAGCAAACAGGAUUAGAUACCCUGGUAGUCCACGCCCUAAACGAUGUACAUUAGUUGUUGCGAUGCUAGACAUUGCAGUAAUGCAGUUAACACAUUAAAUGUACCGCCUGGGGAGUACGGUCGCAAGAUUAAAACUCAAAGGAAUAGACGGGGACCCGCACAAGCGGUGGAGCAUGUGGUUUAAUUCGACGAUACGCGAAGAACCUUACCUGGCCUUGACAUAGAAAGAAUUUAGCAGAGAUGUAAAAGUGCUAGUUUACUAGAGCUUUCAUACAGGUGCUGCACGGCUGUCGUCAGCUCGUGUCGUGAGAUGUUAGGUUAAGUCCUGCAACGAGCGCAACCCUCGUGUUUAGUUACUAACAGUUCGGCUGAGGACUCUAGACAUACUGCCUGGGCAACCAGGAGGAAGGUGAGGACGACGUCAAGUCAUCAUGGCCCUUACGGCCAGGGCUACACACGUGCUACAAUGGGGUAUACAAAGAGCCGCAAUACCGCGAGGUGGAGCAAAUCUCAUAAAAUAUCUCCCAGUUCGGAUUACACUCUGCAACUCGAGUGUAUGAAGUUGGAAUCGCUAGUAAUCGUAGAUCAGCAAUGCUACGGUGAAUACGUUCCCGGGUCUUGUACUCACCGCCCGUCACACCAUGGGAGUUGAAUUCAUUCGAAGCGGGGAUGCUAAAAUAGCUACCUUCCACAGUGGAUUUAGUAACUAGGGUGAAGUCGUAACAAGGUAACC